rnacentral:rRNA from 1 species
GAAGCCCCAGUGAACGGCGGCCGUAACUAUAACGGUCCUAAGGUAGCGAAAUUCCUUGUCAGGUAAGUUCUGACCCGCAUGAAAGGCGUAAUGAUUUGGGCACUGUCUCAACAGCCCGCCCGGCGAAAUUGUAGUACCGGUGAAGAUGCCGGUUACCCGCGACAAGACGGAAAGACCCCAUGGAGCUUUACUGUAGCCUAAUAUUGGGUUUCGAUGUUGCAUGCACAGGAUAGAUGGGACACUGGGAAACAAUCGCUUUGGCGGUUGCGGAGUGGCCGUUGGGAUACCAUCCUUGCGAUAUUGGAAUUCUAACCUGCGGCUCUGAAUCGAGUCGGGGGACAUUGUUAGGUGGGCAGUUUGACUGGGGCGGUCGCCUCCUAAAAAGUAACGGAGGCGUUCAAAGGUUCGCUCAGCUUGAACGGAAAUCAAGCAAAAGAGUGCAAACGCAGAAGCGAGCCUAACUGCGAGACUGACGGGUCGAGCAGUAACGAAAGUUGGAGUUAGUGAUCCGGUGGUAUGUGAGUGGAAAUGCCAUCGCUCAACGGAUAAAAGUUACCCUGGGGAUAACAGGCUGAUCUCCCCCAAGAGUCCACAUCGACGGGGAGGUUUGGCACCUCGAUGUCGGCUCAUCGCAUCCUGGGGCUGAAUUCGGUCCCAAGGGUUUGGCUGUUCGCCAAUUAAAGCGGCACGCGAGCUGGGUUCAGAACGUCGUGAGACAGUUCGGUCCCUAUCUGUUGCGGGCGUAAGAGAUUUGAAGGGAGCUGUCCUUAGUACGAGAGGACCGGGAUGGACGUACCUCUGGUGCACCAGUUGUCCUGCCAAGGGCAUAGCUGGGUAGCUAUGUACGGACGAGAUAAACGCUGAAAGCAUCUAAGCGUGAAACUCCCCCUAAGAUGAGAUCUCUCAUCCUUUAAGGAGUAAGGACCCAGAAAGACGAUCUGGUUGAUAGGCCGAAGGUGGAAGCGCAGUAAUGUGUGCAGCUGAUCGGUACUAAUAGUCCGAGGGCUUGACCUA